rnacentral:rRNA from 1 species
UGCUUGGGAAACUGCCCAGUCGUGGGGGACAACCAUUGGAAACGAUGGCUAAUACCGCAUACGCCCUACGGGGGAAAGAAGGGGACCUUCGGGCCUUUCGCGAUUGGAUGUGCCCAAGUGGGAUUAGCUAGUUGGUGAGGUAAAGGCUCACCAAGGCGACGAUCCCUAGCUGGUUUGAGAGGAUGAUCAGCCACACUGGAACUGAGACACGGUCCAGACUCCUACGGGAGGCAGCAGUGGGGAAUAUUGGACAAUGGGCGCAAGCCUGAUCCAGCAAUACCGCGUGUGUGAAGAAGGGUU